ACCAGGGAAUAAUGUCAUUAAAGGAUUGGACUUAAUAAAAGAAAAAGAAAUAAAAAGGGUGAAUAAACCAGGGGUAGAAACAAAAUUACCGAAUGGAAAGAAUUUGUUUUCAGAUCUAGUAGAAAGAAUCAGCCAUGAGUUCAACGUAUCGAAUAUACGCUGGAUAUGUGGGGAUAGCAGGAGGUCAGAAAUAUGGCCCUGGGAAGGAAUCGCACUCAGCCCUCAAGAAACUCUAAAAGCGAUGAAAAACCUAGAUAGAGAUCGAAAACCAGACAUCUGGAAUGCAGAAGAAGUUUGGAACUUAAAGUCCGAGUUUUAGACUUGUUACCAGUACAGAGCCGCCAGAUGAGGACUGCCAUAUAUCAGAACCGGCUAGCCUUGGACUACCUGCUGGCCGAAGAAGAAGGGGUAUGUGGAAAGUUUAAUUCAUCUGAAUGUUGUCUAGAAAUUGACGAUCAUGGGGACCUAAUUAAAAAUAUAACCACCAGGAUUAGAAAACUCACACAUGUACCAGUACAACGAUGGACCCCAUUGAUAAAAGCUAAUUGGUGGGAUAACAUCUGGAAUGGAGAAUGGUAGAAAAAGAUACUGCUUAUAGUGGGGGGGGGGUUGGAGGGGGCACUCAUAAAUUUAAUUUUCCUUCCUUGUUUAAUACCUUGUCGUAUCAGAAUGAUUAAUAACAUUCUCCAGACUUCUCUUGAAAGGUCAACAGAUGAGAAAAUUAUGAUGAUGAAAGAAAACCAAGACAGAAAAGGAACAGAGAGCGCAAAAGAGAUGUAUGAGAAAUACCAGAAGUUAAGAGAAUUUUACUGAAAGUAUGAAAGUCCAGUUUGAUAAGUUAAGGCUGAUGCGGGCCAAGCCCGAUCAAAGAAUUAGAGGGAGGAUUGUUAUGAACAAAAAUAAAAUUUAAACCUUUGGGGAACGUAGUUAACAAUGGUUAAAUGUUGUUACAAAGUUAAAUGUUGUUAAUACAAGUUAAAUGUUGUUAAUACCAGUAACAAAGUGUGAUUAGUUCUAUGAAAACCCAGUAGUGUGGUUCAUGUAAUAAAGGGGGAGUGGAACCAGGGAGGAGAUGGGGUGCCAAUCUUUGUGCAGGGGCAGAGAAACUUUCAGUAGUAUUCCAUCAUAGAACACAACCACAAGUUAAAUCAAGAUUGGAAGAGAGACCAACCAAUGGGAGGUGAGAAUUCCAAAAUGAUUGGCCAAGACUGCACCAACUUAUAAGUCAAUCAGCAACGGAGAAAUAGACCUGUCACAGCACGGAUCCUGAGCGCCCCAAUCAGGAGACAAGAGAGAGACUUGAAAAGGCCUGGGGUGUCUAACUCCCGAGUCUUUCCUGGGAGCCGCUUUCCCUGGAAACACCCCUAGGUUACAAUUACUAAGCUGUUGAAACAGUAUCUGGACCAGCCCGAGGUUUUUGCUUCCAGUUGUUCAUUUUGUAAUAAACAAGCUUACUUUUUUAA